UUUAUGGCUCAUAACUUUCAGUUUGGAGUCGAGCGGAAGUGGUUAAAGAGACGUUAAAAGAAGGAAGUUUGGUUUGGAGGAAAUGAGUUAAAAUAAAUUACUCACAUUAAAUGAGAUGAGAUACAAAUGGAGUGUAGAACAGAAAUAAUGUGCACAAAAAACAUCAGAAACAUCAGACAGACAAACACCAACAGCACAGAGAGAGAAAUGGAAGACAGAAGUGAGACACAGACGCCUGGAUCACACGAGAGAAACAGACAGAAACCCUUGAGAUGUGAGAGUAUGGAGAAACUAAAACCAAGCUUCUCAUGUGAUCCAGACGGGCCUGUGAAGUUUCACUCAGAUGUUCUGAACACAAGAUCAGUGAUGUCCGGAUACCAGCAGCAGAAGACCAGAGCAUCAUCAUCAUCAUCAUCAUCUGGACUACAGUCUGUUGAGCUACUGGAUUCUCAGCUUUUACACACUCAUCUGAGCACAAGCAAACACACUACUAAACCGAUUCUUUCUCAGAUCUGUGUCUCAAUACUGCAGUGAUGUUUUCAGUAUAUAUUACUCAUGGAAACACUCUGGACAGACGGCUGGUCCUUCACACAGCACACAGUCACACAAACAAACAAUGACUUCAGAUCACUGGACAAACAUGUCUUUGUAUUGUGUGUCCCCUGGUGCCUUUACAUUUGACUAAAUCUGUAUUGGUUUGUAUGGCAGCAAUGUUGCACUGGUGUUCAUACACUACAAACAAUAACAGCAAUACAGUUUAUAAUACAGAUAUUAUCUAACAACAUGGAAACAUGUUCCUGUUACUCUAGAUCACACUAAAUAUUGAGAAAAUCAUCUUUAAAGUUGUUCAAACUAAGUUCUUAGCAAUGCAUAUUACUAAUUAAAAAUUUACAUUAAGUUUUGAUGUAUUUACAGUAGCAAAUGUACAAAAUAUCUUCAUUGAACAUGAUCUUUACUUAAUAUCCUAAUGAUUUUUGGCAUUAAAGAAAAAUUAAUAAUUUUAACCCAUACAAUGUGUUUUUGGCUACUGCUACAAAUAUCCCUGUGAUACCGAUGACUGCUUCUGUGCUGCAGGAUGAUUUAUGCUUUCUAUGAGUUUGACAUGAAAAACAAUUACACUGGAGAAGAAUUAUCACAGUUUUUGAAAUCAAAAUAGCUAGCACAAAAGUCUAAGCACUUUUAAACAAAGAAAACAAACAGCAUAACGUUACACAAAUGUUAUACUUCCAUCUACCCGAACGUCAGAAAGUAUAUUUAUACACCUAUGUAUUAACAUCUUAACAUGAAUAGAUACAUUGUAGAGCUCCCCCUGCUGGACACAUCAGGAACAUCAGCGCAGUGCAUUAUUGUCCAAGUACUCCUUUGUUUUUCUUUUUUCUUGCAGCUUUAAUUUUUAUGGAAUUA
rnacentral:lncRNA from 1 species